GCCUUUUGCCCAGAGGAUGUGGAUAACCUCGGGAAACUGAGCUUAAAACGCGAUAGGCCAAGAUUUCUGGAAUGGAUCAUGGCUGAAAUCUAUACGGCCUUUGGAUUGGACUUCCCCCGAUCAGGCUGUUGGUGAGGUAAUGGCCCACCAAACCUAUAACCGGUACGGGCUUUGAGAGAAGGAGCCCGGAGAUGGGCACUGAGACAAGGGCCCAGGCCCUAUGGGGCGCAGCAGGCGCGAAACCUCUGCAAUAGGCGAAAGCUUGACAGGGUUACUCUGAGUGAUGUCCGUUAAGGGCAUCUUUUGGCACCUCUAAAAAUGGUGCAGAAUAAGGGGUGGGCAAGUCUGGUGUCAGCCGCCGCGGUAAUACCAGCACCCCGAGUGGUCGGGACGAUUAUUGGGCCUAAAGCAUCCGUAGCUUGUUCUGCAAGUCUUCCGUUAAAUCCACCUGCUCAACAGAUGGGCUGCGGAGGAUACUACAGGGCUAGGAGGCGGGAGAGGCAAGCGGUACUCAGUGGGUAGGGGUAAAAUCCACUGAUCCACUGAAGA
rnacentral:rRNA from 1 species